ensembl:lncRNA novel transcript
UCUGCAGCUUCGCUCCUGAAGUCAGAAAGACCACGAACCCACCGGGAGGAACAAACAACUCUGGACGCACCACCUUUAAGAGCUGUAACACUCACUGCGAAGGUCUGCGGCUUCACUCCUGAAGUCAAGCAAGACCACAAACCCACCGGAAGGAAAAAACUCCAGACACAUCUGAACAUCUGAAGGAACAAACUCCAGACAUACCAUCUGUAAGAACUGUAACACUUACCGCGAGGGUCCGCGGCUUCAUUCUUGAAGUCAGCCAGACCAAGAACCCACCGGGAGGAACCAAUUCCGGACACAGUAUGGUUGGUCCACAAGAGAGGUGAAAUUUGGAUGCAGAGACAAGCAUGCAGGGAGAACGUCAUGUGAAGAUUUGAGUUAUGCUGCCAAAAGACAAGGACCUACCAGAAGCUGGAAGAGAAGCCUGGAACAGAUCCUUCCCCAGAGACUUCAGAGGGAACAGGACCCUCCCAGCACAUUGAUCUUGGACGUGUAGUCUCCAGAACUAUGAGACAAUAAAUAUCAGUUGUUUAAGCC